GGAAGCGUCUGGAAAGACGCGCGAUACAGGGUGACAGCCCCGUACACAAAAAUGCACAUGCUGUGAGCUCGAUGAGUAGGGCGGGACACGUGGUAUCCUGUCUGAAUAUGGGGGGACCAUCCUCCAAGGCUAAAUACUCCUGACUGACCGAUAGUGAACCAGUACCGUGAGGGAAAGGCGAAAAGAACCCCGGCGAGGGGAGUGAAAAAGAACCUGAAACCGUGUACGUACAAGCAGUGGGAGCACGCUUAGGCGUGUGACUGCGUACCUUUUGUAUAAUGGGUCAGCGACUUAUAUUCUGUAGCAAGGUUAACCGAAUAGGGGAGCCGAAGGGAAACCGAGUCUUAACUGGGCGUUAAGUUGCAGGGUAUAGACCCGAAACCCGGUGAUCUAGCCAUGGGCAGGUUGAAGGUUGGGUAACACUAACUGGAGGACCGAACCGACUAAUGUUGAAAAAUUAGCGGAUGACUUGUGGCUGGGGGUGAAAGGCCAAUCAAACCGGGAGAUAGCUGGUUCUCCCCGAAAGCUAUUUAGGUAGCGCCUCGUGAAUUCAUCUCCGGGGGUAGAGCACUGUUUCGGCAAGGGGGUCAUCCCGACUUACCAACCCGAUGCAAACUGCGAAUACCGGAGAAUGUUAUCACGGGAGACACACGGCGGGUGCUAACGUCCGUCGUGAAGAGGGAAACAACCCAGACCGCCAGCUAAGGUCCCAAAGUCAUGGUUAAGUGGGAAACGAUGUGGGAAGGCCCAGACAGCCAGGAUGUUGGCUUAGAAGCAGCCAUCAUUUAAAGAAAGCGUAAUAGCUCACUGGUCGAGUCGGCCUGCGCGGAAGAUGUAACGGGGCUAAACCAUGCACCGAAGCUGCGGCAGCGACGCUGAUGCGUUGUUGGGUAGGGGAGCGUUCUGUAAGCCUGUGAAGGUGUGCUGUGAGGCAUGCUGGAGGUAUCAGAAGUGCGAAUGCUGACAUAAGUAACGAUAAAGCGGGUGAAAAGCCCGCUCGCCGGAAGACCAAGGGUUCCUGUCCAACGUUAAUCGGGGCAGGGUGAGUCGACCCCUAAGGCGAGGCCGAAAGGCGUAGUCGAUGGGAAACAGGUUAAUAUUCCUGUACUUGGUGUUACUGCGAAGGGGGGACGGAGAAGGCUAUGUUGGCCGGGCGACGGUUGUCCCGGUUUAAGCGUGUAGGCUGGUUUUCCAGGCAAAUCCGGAAAAUCAAGGCUGAGGCGUGAUGACGAGGCACUACGGUGCUGAAGCAACAAAUGCCCUGCUUCCAGGAAAAGCCUCUAAGCAUCAGGUAACAUCAAAUCGUACCCCAAACCGACACAGGUGGUCAGGUAGAGAAUACCAAGGCGCUUGAGAGAACUCGGGUGAAGGAACUAGGCAAAAUGGUGCCGUAACUUCGGGAGAAGGCACGCUGAUAUGUAGGUGAAGUCCCUCGCGGAUGGAGCUGAAAUCAGUCGAAGAUACCAGCUGGCUGCAACUGUUUAUUAAAAACACAGCACUGUGCAAACACGAAAGUGGACGUAUACGGUGUGACGCCUGCCCGGUGCCGGAAGGUUAAUUGAUGGGGUUAGCCGCAAGGCGAAGCUCUUGAUCGAAGCCCCGGUAAACGGCGGCCGUAACUAUAACGGUCCUAAGGUAGCGAAAUUCCUUGUCGGGUAAGUUCCGACCUGCACGAAUGGCGUAAUGAUGGCCAGGCUGUCUCCACCCGAGACUCAGUGAAAUUGAACUCGCUGUGAAGAUGCAGUGUACCCGCGGCAAGACGGAAAGACCCCGUGAACCUUUACUAUAGCUUGACACUGAACAUUGAGCCUUGAUGUGUAGGAUAGGUGGGAGGCUUUGAAGUGUGGACGCCAGUCUGCAUGGAGCCGACCUUGAAAUACCACCCUUUAAUGUUUGAUGUUCUAACGUUGACCCGUAAUCCGGGUUGCGGACAGUGUCUGGUGGGUAGUUUGACUGGGGCGGUCUCCUCCUAAAGAGUAACGGAGGAGCACGAAGGUUGGCUAAUCCUGGUCGGACAUCAGGAGGUUAGUGCAAUGGCAUAAGCCAGCUUGACUGCGAGCGUGACGGCGCGAGCAGGUGCGAAAGCAGGUCAUAGUGAUCCGGUGGUUCUGAAUGGAAGGGCCAUCGCUCAACGGAUAAAAGGUACUCCGGGGAUAACAGGCUGAUACCGCCCAAGAGUUCAUAUCGACGGCGGUGUUUGGCACCUCGAUGUCGGCUCAUCACAUCCUGGGGCUGAAGUAGGUCCCAAGGGUAUGGCUGUUCGCCAUUUAAAGUGGUACGCGAGCUGGGUUUAGAACGUCGUGAGACAGUUCGGUCCCUAUCUGCCGUGGGCGCUGGAGAACUGAGGGGGGCUGCUCCUAGUACGAGAGGACCGGAGUGGACGCAUCACUGGUGUUCGGGUUGUCAUGCCAAUGGCACUGCCCGGUAGCUAAAUGCGGAAGAGAUAAGUGCUGAAAGCAUCUAAGCACGAAACUUGCCCCGAGAUGAGUUCUCCCUGACUCCUUGAGAGUCCUGAAGGAACGUUGAAGACGACGACGUUGAUAGGCCGGGUGUGUAAGCGCAGCGAUGCGUUGAGCUAACCGGUACUAAUGAACCGUGAGGCUUAACCUU
rnacentral:rRNA from 1 species